UGGGGAAUAUUGCACAAUGGGCGAAAGCCUGAUGCAGCAACGCCGCGUGAGUGAUGAAGGCCUUCGGGUUGUAAAGCUCUGUCUUCUGGGACGAUAAUGACGGUACCAGAGGAGGAAGCCACGGCUAACUACGUGCCAGCAGCCGCGGUAAUACGUAGGUGGCAAGCGUUGUCCGGAUUUACUGGGCGUAAAGGAUGCGUAGGCGGAUACUUAAGUCAGAUGUGAAAAUCCCGGGCUUAACUUGGGGACUGCAUUUGAAACUGGGUAUCUAGAGUGCGGGAGAGGAAAGUGGAAUUCCUAGUGUAGCGGUGAAAUGCGUAGAGAUUAGGAAGAACACCAGUGGCGAAGGCGACUUUCUGAACCGUAACUGACGCUGAGGCAUGAAAGCGUGGGGAGCAAACA
rnacentral:rRNA from 1 species